AUCGAACGCUGGCGGCAGGCCUAACACAUGCAAGUCGAGCGAGCGGCGGACGGGUGAGUAAUGUCUGGGAAACUGCCUGAUGGAGGGGGAUAACUACUGGAAACGGUAGCUAAUACCGCAUACCAUCAGAUGUGCCCAGAUGGGAUUAGUGAGUAGGUGGGGUAACGGCUCACCUAGGCGACGAUCCCUAGCUGGUCUGAGAGGAUGACCAGCCACACUGGAACUGAGACACGGGCCAGACUCCUACGGGAGGCAGCAGUGGGGAAUAUUGCAAAAGGGGGGCAAGCCUGAUGCAGCCAUGCCGCGGGAGUGAAGGAGGCCUUCGGGUUGUAAAGCACUUUCAGCGGGGAGGAGUUGCCCGAAGAAGAAGAACCGGCUAACUCCGUGCCAGCCGCCGCGGUAAUUC
rnacentral:rRNA from 1 species